rnacentral:rRNA from 1 species
UACGUAGGGUGCAAGCGUUGUCCGGAAUUAUUGGGCGUAAAGAGCUUGUAGGCGGUUUGUCGCGUCUGCCGUGAAAAUUCGAGGCUCAACCUCGAACUUGCGGUGGGUACGGGCAGACUAGAGUGUGGUAGGGGAGACUGGAAUUCCUGGUGUAGCGGUGAAAUGCGCAGAUAUCAGGAGGAACACCGAUGGCGAAGGCAGGGUCUCUGGGCCGAUACUGACGCUGAGGAGCGAAAGCGUGGGGAGCGAACAGG